rnacentral:rRNA from 1 species
CCCUUAGAUGUCCUGGGCCGCACGCGUGCUACACUGACGCAUACAGCGAGCACUUUCCAGUUCCGAGAGGCUACUGGUAAUCAUCAAUAUGCGUCGUGAUGGGGAUAGAUCUUUGGAAUUCUGGAUCUUGAACGAGGAAUGCCUAGUAAUCGCAGGUCAUUAGCCUGCGAUGAUUAGGUCCCUGCCCUUUGUACACACCGCCCGUCGCUACUACCGAUUUCGAGUGGUCAGGUGAAUCUUUCGGACUGUGGGCGCCCUUGAGGUGUUCGCGGAAAGUCAGGUAAAUCUUAUCACUUAGAGGAAGUAAAAGUCGUAACA